UAUCUUAUUCUGAACCAGUUUUUCCAAUACCAUGUAAGUUGUCAUCAGUGCAAAUUGUUUCGUGUAUCUGAUGACAACUUGCAUUUGAAUUUGAAAAACGCUUUUUAAGUUUUCAUGUUGGCUUUGAGGAUUAAUCUUCCUCUUAAAUCUGAAAAAUGAUGUCUGCCAUAUUUAAUUUUAGCUUAAAUUUAGUUUAUCAAUCAUGAAUAGUGUCAUGUGCCCAUUGCCGUAGUCCAUAGCUUUUCCUAAUUGUGAAAUAUUUUAGAAAUUUUCAUCAAAGCACCAGACACCCCACUAUAAAAUUGGAGUAUCCUCACGAAGUGCUGACUUGUAUAUCUGGGUGUUAUGGUUGCAUUUCUAGAGAUGAGCGGCCUCGAGUUAUAAAGUCUUUGACAUUUUAUUUGUUGAA